GGUGAACGCUGGCGGUAGGCCUAACACAUGCAAUUCGAACGGCAGCACAGUAAGAGCUUGCUCUUACGGGUGGCGAGUGGCGGACGGGUGAGGAAUACAUCGGCAUCUACUUUUUCGUGGGGGAUAUCGUAGGGAAACUUACGCUAAUACCGCAUACUACCUACGGGUGAAAGCAGGGGAUCUUCGGACCUUGCGCGAUUGAAUGAGCCGAUGUCGGAUUAGCUAGUUGGCGUGGUAAAGGCCCACCAAGGCGACGAUCCGUAGCUGGUCUGAGAGGAUGAUCAGCCACACUGGAACUGAGACACGGUCCAGACUCCUACGGGAGGCAGCAGUGGGGAAUAUUGGACAAUGGGCGAAAGCCUGAUCCAGCAAUACCGCGUGGGUGAAGAAGGCCUUCGGGUUGUAAAGCCCUUUUGUUGGGAAAGAAAAGCAGCAGGUUAAUACCCCGCUGUUCUGACGGUACCCAAAGAAUAAGCACCGGCUAACUUCGUG
rnacentral:rRNA from 1 species